AGGAGUGUAUUCUCAGCUGGAAGUCUUCACUUGCUCAAAAGGUGUCAGCUCUCUAGAGGAGCUUCUCUCUCUGUGUGGAGGAGAUCGCAGCUCAGCUUUACCCUGGUUAGAACUUCAUACCCUUAAUUUCAGUUACAAUUCCAUUUCCCGUCUUGACGAGUCGCUAAGUCUGCUAAAUGUCCUAAAGUGGCUUGACUUGAGCCACAACAAGAUCCAAGAUUGUGCUGAAUUUUUGAAGCCUCUUACUGAACUGGAGCAUCUGAAUUUAGCCUAUAAUAACCUCCAGAGAGCACCAGUGCUGGGCCUCAGUGCCCAAGCCAAACUCACAACCUUGAUCCUUAGAAACAAUGAGCUGGAAACUAU